UCGUCAGAAGCUGCGAACUGGUGUCUGUGGUGUGGUGGUUAGGUGCUCCGCUGUCGCACGAAAGGGGCCCAAGUUCGAUUCUCGAGUGGGGGAAAAUUUUAUCGAGUAUCUCAAUAUAUCUGCUUUGAUGUUGCAUCUCUCAGUCCAGUUUGGCCCUGACAGGCAGUGUCGGAAGCCUGCCUCCUAAAUCAUCUAAAUUAAGUCGGUGGUGCGUAAAAUACCUAUUUAAAAAAGAAGUGAGCUUGACGCAUCGAGGCAGACCAUUCUCUCAGUUUGACUACAGAGAAGAAAGUCCAUGUUCGCAUGUCCAAGGGGAAAUCCUUGAAUGUGGGUACGGUAGCUUUUGAGAGUUAUCCAAGGCUGUCCUCCUACUCAAAUAUGUUUUUUUUCUGGGGUUUUCUCUGGAAAUAACUUAGAGAGUGUUAAAAGAAGCGCGAACGUGGUUUAUUUUGAGAAAUUCCAAGGCUCUCCUCCCACUUAGCUCGAUCGGACCUAAGACAAGUCCAUUGCACGAUCUAAAGGGGUGAUGGUCACUGGAAUAGGCUUAGGCCUGCUCUAGACUCCUGGAUUUUGGGUGGUAGGGAUACUCAUUUUGAUUGGGCACUGACGGUUACUGUCGUAAAUAUGAGUGAGACUCGCAGCUUCUUUUGGCGCAUCUUGGUUCCUGCUCUUGUGAUGGGUGUGGCCUGCAUUUUUUUGGCCCCUCUUGUUGUGGAUUUUGUUGGAUUUCGAAAGGAGGGCAUUGCAAAAAAGAGCUUGGCGUCCUUUUUGCAGGGAACAGCGGUCAAAGCAAACUUUGGCACCUCUGUCAUCUCGCAGCUACAACGAGCAGGUGUGAAAGGCUUUGGUAAUUUAACACUGUGCUUUAUUGGUCUGGUCGGGGCAGCGUGGACCUAUAUAAAUUUAUUACUUUUCUACCGACUUACCGAUAUGUGGAGGAACAGAAAUCAAAACGUUCUUCACGACCAUGGGAGCUCGGAUGGCGAAGGAACUGAAGUUACCCGAGAGAUGACAGAAGAAUACGACAACACCCGAGUGCGUCAACGAACAGUGACGAGGGAGAGAAAGCUCAGAAACGACAGACGAGACGAAGAUUCUGUGCCCGAAGACGCUGAUGCAACAGAAAGAAAAGAAACCGCCAACGAUAAUGGAAGUGACUAGUUUCAUGUUGAAUUAAAAAAAAAAAAUUCUAUUCAUCUAUGCUAUCUAGCAAUCUAGCUGUCUAUCAGUUUUCAUCUGUUGUUUCCACAGUAUAUAUCAUUGACAUGUAACAUUUCUUUCGUAACCCCCCCCAAGUCCCUACCGCCCAUUUCUAAUAGAACUUUAAAAAAAGAAGAAAUGUACGUGAAAAUGCUAACAAAAUAAAAAUAUACACAUGAAGCCAAGAAAACCGAAAGAAAAUUGUAUACAUGUAUUUCUAUUAAACCCUUUUUCCUGAAUUGUUAC
rnacentral:misc_RNA from 1 species